UUUUAAUUCUGACCACAGCCCUUGAAGUCAUUGCUGUCACCCCAUUUCACAGGUGGGGAAACCAAGGCAUGGGGACUUGGCACAGCAAAUGGUUGGCAGAGCUGGGGCCUGAUCCAAGGAAACCAGACACCAGAGACUAAAGAGGAGGAAAAGACAGUGCCCAGGAAGGGGUGGCUUCGGGCUGUAGCCCAGGAGCGCUGGCUGGUGACAAGUUCUGUUUAUCCUAGGGGUGAGGCUGGCCCUGGCCCUAUCCCGAAUGGUUUUUCCAGUCUUGCUGCCCAGGGCACCUGGGGACCGUGUCCCAAAGGAGAAGGCAUCUGAGCGAGGCCAGGAGCAGACCCUGGGCAGGUGGACAGGGAAGUCUGCUCCCGUGGCAGGUGGGGUGUGUGCUGACUGGAGGGCAGGGCUGGCCAUGGAGGGAGCCGGGGCAGGUGUGGACUGGACUGGGUAGUUCCAGAGGUCCACCUGGGUUCUGAUGGAGAGAGACUGAGGGGACCCAGCUGCAGUUGGGGGCCACUUGGAAACCAUUGCUGU
rnacentral:lncRNA from 1 species